CUCCUGAGAGGACAAGAGAGAGACAGAUUCAGGGAUUCCCCAUGGAGACUCAUUGCCAUUUGAAGGGAAGCCCAUGGGAAAAGGGCAGGAAUCCCAGCUUGUGUGCAGGAGGGGUGGUGAG